rnacentral:rRNA from 1 species
GACGAACGCUGGCGGUGUGCUUAACACAUGCAAGUCGAACGGAAAGGCCCUGUUUGCAGGGUACUCGAGUGGCGAACGGGUGAGUAACACGUGUGUGCUCCGCCCUGCACUUCGGGAUAAGCCUGGGACACUGGGUCUAAUACCGGAUAGGCGUCCUUUUCAGUGUGAUGGUUGGAAAGUUUUUUCGGUGUAGGAUGAGCUCGCGGCCUAUCAGCUUGUUGGUGGGGUAAUGGCCUACCAAGGCGGUGACGGGUAGCCGGCCUGAGAGGGUGGACGGCCACAUUGGGACUGAGAUACGGCCCAGACUCCUACGGGAGGCAGCAGUGGGGAAUAUUGCACAAUGGGCGCAAGCCUGAUGCAGCGACGCCGCGUGGGGGAUGACGGCCUUCGGGUUGUAAACUCCUUUCGCUAGGGACGAAGCUUUUUGUGACGGUACCUAGAUAAGAAGCACCGGCUAACUACGUG